rnacentral:rRNA from 1 species
AAACCAACAAACCCUCAUCAAUACCCCCUAAGACACCUUAAGUAGCACUUAACAAACCAUUUUUCCCCCCUAGUACGGGCGACAGAAAAGGAACCCCCCCGCGCUAUAGAGAAAGUACCGCAAGGGAAAG